ACGUCUACAUUAGACUACCCCGUAGUCCCAGCCGUAAACUAUGCGCGUUAGGUGUAUCGGUGACCACGAGUCACCGAGGUGCCGAAGGGAAACCGUGAAACGUGCCGCCUGGGAAGUACGGGUCGCAAGGCUGAAACUUAAAGGAAUUGGCGGGGAGCACCACAACGGGUGGAGCCUGCGGUUUAAUUGGACUCAACGCCGGGAAGCUCACCGGAUAAGACAGCGGAAUGAUUGCCGGGCUGAAGACUCUGCAUGACUAGCUG
rnacentral:rRNA from 1 species